AUUCUGCAAACCGAAACUUGGGUCAUGUGACCUGAUGGGAUUAUGGGACUCCCUCCAGGUGCCCGAGACAAGGUUGAUAUUUCCAAAAUAUUUUGGUGAUUUAGUGGGACAAGCAAAUGACAGAAUACCGGAGAAGGCAGGGAUCGUGGGUGUCAGGAGCCAGAGGGGAGGGGGACAGAUGUGCUGUGUACAGGACAAGGUGUCAGGUGACUCCUUCCCAGCAGGGCCUCGCAGAUGCACAAGCACGGAGCUGGUGGGUUUUGCCCAAGAAAGGUCACGCGGCACAUGCAGGGAUUGGAACUCCCAGGCCAGGGCUCUAGGUCGCUCCCACCUUUUCAUGUUUCUUUCUGUGGCCAUGGGUAUAGUGGAAAGACAUAAAGCUAAAGCCAACUUUUAAUCCUGAAUGCACUGCUUGCCAGGUAAAUGCCCUUGGUUGUGGUAUCUUGUUGAGACUUAGUUUUCACAGAGGGAUAAUGAACCGUUGCAGAGGUUUAUUGAGAUCAUUAACAGAGUGGAAUUCAGCACCCGCCACAGCAGCCAGCCAUGGGGUGCCCAAGAGGUUGGUUCCCGUUGCCACUUGAAAUAUGCAAACAGGUAGCUAGAAACCAUCUGGGCUUGACAAAGUCUAAUGCCUUGAACAAAUAAGCUUAUCCCUCUGAAAACAAAAUGGUGCUUGUAAUGACCCACGUUAAAUAUGUUUUAUUGGCCAGUUAAUCAUUGUGGUUGAAUACUUGCCUAAGGCGGUAAGAAAUCAAAUAAGUAAAUCCUAAAACAGGAAGAAAGGAAUCAUAUUCAUUCCUGAAUUCAGAAAACUAAAUGAACAGGCCACAGGUCAGAAGUGGUGGGAAGCAGGCCCAGUGGAUACCUUUAGACACAUGUCCUAGUAGGGAUGCUCGGGCUUUGCUUCUCUGCGGACGGGGCUGUGAGUCUCAGAGGCUCCAUCUGCAUUCCGGGGCAGGGGCUAGGCUGCUGAGUAUGCCUUGGGGUACUGCAGGGCAGUGCUAUGCCACCACCUGACGUGGCAGAAGGCUGGUAGGAUGGGCUGGCCUGAGGAUGGCCCUGCCUGGCAGAGGAGUGGACUCCAGUGGUCGAGCUUGGGCUACCCUGCCCGUCUCUGGAGACAGAUUAAGUGGUGGCAAGACCCUUCCUAAGUUCCUCACUCCUUCUGUGGUCAAUGUCUUCCAUUUCCCGGAGUUUCUGCAAAGGGCAUCAGGGAAAGCAGGUGUAUCAGGGCUAGGAACCUGAGGAGCUGUCACAGCAGUGAGCUAGAGCCUGACCCCUGAACCCUGCCACAGCAGACCCUGUAUUUCCAUUCGCACUUGGCGCUGGGCCCUUCCCCUCCCCACUUUCCUGGUUGUUUCUCCUACCUGGGAGAUUUCAGCAAGGAUGAUUCCUCGGUACUGUUUGCCCUGUCCCAGGGCCUCCAUGUCAGCCAGGAAUUCUUUCCUCUCCUGGAUUUCCUUCACCACUGGACAGAGGAGAGGGCUGUCAGGUUCCCAUGAGGGAUGCAGGCAGCGGGUUGCCUCUCUUGAGGAGAGGAAGUGGUUCUAUUGUCAAAUAGUGUUUCUAGGCCGGGCGCGGUGGCUCACGCCUAUAAUCCCAGCACUUUGGGAGGCCAAGGCAGGUGGAUCACGAGGUCAGGAGUUCGAGACCAGCCUGACCAACAUGGUGAAACCCCGUGUCUACUAAAAAUACAAAAAUUAGCCAGGCAUGGUGGCGGGCGCUGGUAAUCCCAGCUACUCAGGUGGCUGAGGCAGGAGGGAUUGCUUGAACCUGGGAAGUGGAGGCUGCAGUGAGCCCAGAUCACGCCACUGCACUCUAGCCUGGGCAAUAAGAGCAAGACUGUCUC
rnacentral:lncRNA from 10 species